rnacentral:rRNA from 1 species
UUAAAUUGAAGAGUUUGAUCAUGGCUCAGAUUGAACGCUGGCGGCAGGCCUAACACAUGCAAGUCGAACGGUAACAGGAAGAAGCUUGCUUCUUUGCUGACGAGUGGCGGACGGGUGAGUAAUGUCUGGGAAACUGCCUGAUGGAGGGGGAUAACUACUGGAAACGGUAGCUAAUACCGCAUAACGUCGCAAGACCAAAGAGGGGGACCUUCGGGCCUCUUGCCAUCGGAUGUGCCCAGAUGGGAUUAGCUUGUUGGUGGGGUAACGGCUCACCAAGGCGACGAUCCCUAGCUGGUCUGAGAGGAUGACCAGCCACACUGGAACUGAGACACGGUCCAGACUCCUACGGGAGGCAGCAGUGGGGAAUAUUGCACAAUGGGCGCAAGCCUGAUGCAGCCAUGCCGCGUGUAUGAAGAAGGCCUUCGGGUUGUAAAGUACUUUCAGCGGGGAGGAAGGGAGUAAAGUUAAUACCUUUGCUCAUUGACGUUACCCGCAGAAGAAGCACCGGCUAACUCCGUGCCAGCAGCCGCGGUAAUACGGAGGGUGCAAGCGUUAAUCGGAAUUACUGGGCGUAAAGCGCACGCAGGCGGUUUGUUAAGUCAGAUGUGAAAUCCCCGGGCUCAACCUGGGAACUGCAUCUGAUACUGGCAAGCUUGAGUCUCGUAGAGGGGGGUAGAAUUCCAGGUGUAGCGGUGAAAUGCGUAGAGAUCUGGAGGAAUACCGGUGGCGAAGGCGGCCCCCUGGACGAAGACUGACGCUCAGGUGCGAAAGCGUGGGGAGCAAACAGGAUUAGAUACCCUGGUAGUCCACGCCGUAAACGAUGUCGACUUGGAGGUUGUGCCCUUGAGGCGUGGCUUCCGGAGCUAACGCGUUAAGUCGACCGCCUGGGGAGUACGGCCGCAAGGUUAAAACUCAAAUGAAUUGACGGGGGCCCGCACAAGCGGUGGAGCAUGUGGUUUAAUUCGAUGCAACGCGAAGAACCUUACCUGGUCUUGACAUCCACGGAAGUUUUCAGAGAUGAGAAUGUGCCUUCGGGAACCGUGAGGCAGGUGCUGCAUGGCUGUCGUCAGCUCGUGUUGUGAAAUGUUGGGUUAAGUCCCGCAACGAGCGCAACCCUUAUCCUUUGUUGCCAGCGGUCCGGCCGGGAACUCAAAGGAGACUGCCAGUGAUAAACUGGAGGAAGGUGGGGAUGACGUCAAGUCAUCAUGGCCCUUACGACCAGGGCUACACACGUGCUACAAUGGCGCAUACAAAGAGAAGCGACCUCGCGAGAGCAAGCGGACCUCAUAAAGUGCGUCGUAGUCCGGAUUGGAGUCUGCAACUCGACUCCAUGAAGUCGGAAUCGCUAGUAAUCGUGGAUCAGAAUGCCACGGUGAAUACGUUCCCGGGCCUUGUACACACCGCCCGUCACACCAUGGGAGUGGGUUGCAAAAGAAGUAGGUAGCUUAACCUUCGGGAGGGCGCUUACCACUUUGUGAUUCAUGACUGGGGUGAAGUCGUAACAAGGUAACCGUAGGGGAACCUGCGGUUGGAUCACCUCCUUACCUUAAAGAAGC